rnacentral:sRNA from 1 species
ACAGCAGAUGCAUCCGGAGAUCCUUGUGUUUUUAUUCAUUCAUUAGGAACACUGCUUGGUUAUCUUGAGUUGCCAGUUUAACAGUUUUUUGAGUGUUUAUUCCUCCCAAAUCAUUCCAGUCUUUUUGAAAAGUUGUAUAUUUCCCUUUUCAGCUCUCAUUUCACUCUUCAGUGUUCCUGUUAUUUAUGAACGGCAUCAGGUAAUUUCCUAACUGCUGACUUCAGAAUAGAUUUACGAAUGUAUUAGUGCCCAUUUUCAAUGUCUUAUAAAAAUGAGAAAUGUGAUGGUUUCUUAAGCUUUUAGCUUGACACAUAGUAGUGGUUAAUAAGAUUCUUUAGCAGCAGUAAUAAUUCCUUUAUACCUCUCUUUCAGGCACAGAUAGAUCAUUAUCUAGGACUUGCAAAUAAGAAUGUUAAAGAUGCUAUGGCUAAAAUCCAAGCGAAAAUCCCUGGAUUGAAGCGCAAAGCUGAAUGAAAACGCCCAAAAUAAUUAGUAGGAGUUCAUCUUUAAAGGGGAUAUUCAUUUGAUUAUACGGGGAGGGUCAGGGAAGAACGAACCUUGACAUUGCAGUGCAGUUUCACAGAUCGUUGUUAGAUCUUUAUUUUUUAGCCAUGCACUGUUGUGAGGAAAAAUUACCUGUCUUGACUGCCGUGUGUUCAUCAUCUUAAGUAUUGUAAGCUGCUAUGUAUGGAUUUAAACUGUAAUCAUAUCUUUUUCCUAUCUGAGGCACUGGUGGAAUAAAAAACCUGUAUAUUUUACUUUGUUGCAGGUAGUCUUGCUGCAUCUUGGCAAGUUGCAGAGAUGGUGGAGCUAGAAAAAAAAAAAAAA